GGUUCGAUCCUAGCUCAGAUUGAACGCUGGCGGGAUGCUUUACACAUGCAAGUCGAACGGCAGCACGGACUUCGGUCUGGUGGCGAGUGGCGAACAGGUGAGUAAUGUAUCGGAACGUGCCUAGUAGCGGGGGAUAACUACGCGAAAGCGUAGCUAAUACCGCAUACGCCCUUCGGGGGAAAGCGGGGGACCUUCGGGCCUCGCACUAUUAGAGCGGCCGAUAUCGGAUUAGCUAGUUGGUGGGGUAACGGCUCACCAAGGCGACGAUCCGUAGCUGGUUUGAGGAGGACGACCAGCCACACUGGGACUGAGACACAGCCCAGACUCCUGCAGGAGGCAACAGUGGGGAAUUUUGGACAAUGGGGGAAACCCUGAUCCAGCCAUCCCGCGUGUGCGAUGAAGGCCUUCGGGUUGUAAAGCGCACAGCAGGAAAGAAACGGCACGGGAUAAUACCCCGUGCAACUGACGUACCUGCAGAAUAAGCACCGGCUAACUGCGUGCCAGCAGCCGCGGUAAUACGUAGGGUGCAAGCGUUAAUCGGAAUUACUGGGCGUAAAGCGUGCGCAGGCGGUUCGGAAAAGAAAGAUGUGAAAUCCCAGAGCUUAACUUUGGAACUGCAUUUUUUAACUACCGAGCUAGAGUGUGUCAGAGGGAGGUGGAAUUCCGCGUGUAGCAGUGAAAUGCGUAGAUAUGCGGAGGAACACCGAUGGCGAAGACAGCCUCGCAAGGAUAUACUGACGCUCAUGCGCGAAAAGCGUGGGGAGCAAACAGGAUUAGAUACCCUGGUAGUCCACGCCCUAAACGAUGUCAACUAGCUGUUGGGGCCUUCGGGCCUUGGUAGCGCAGCUAACGCGUGAAGUUGACCGCCUGGGGAGGUACGGUCGCAAGAUUAAAACUCAAAGGAAUUGACGGGGACCCGCACAAGCGGUGGAUGAUGUGGAUUAAUUCGAUGCAACGCGAAAAACCUUACCUACCGCUUGACAUGUCUGGAAUCCCGAAGAGAUUUGGGAUGCUCGCAAGAGAACCGGAACACAGGUGCUGCAUGGCUGUCGUCAGCCGUGUCAUUGAGAUGUUGGGUUAAGUCCCGCAACGAGCGCAACCCUUGUCAUUAGUUGCUACGAAAGGCACUCUAAUGAGACUGCCGGUGACAAACCGGAGGAAGGUGGGGAUGACGUCAAGUCCUCAUGGCCCUUAUGGUGAGGGCUUCACACGUCAUACAAUGGUCGGGACAGAGGGUCGCCAACCCGCGAGGGGGGAGCCAAUCCCAAGAAACCCGAUCGUAGUCCGGAUCGCAGUCUGCAACUCGACUGCGUGAAGUCGGAAUCGCUAGUAAUCGCGGAUCAGCAUGUCGCGGUGAAUACGUUCCCGGUCUUGUACACACCGCCACGUCACACCAUGGGAGUGGGUUUUACCAGAAAGUAGUUAGCCUAACCGUAAAGGGCGAUUACCACGGUAAGUUCAUGACUGGGGUGAAGUCGUAACAAGGUAA
rnacentral:rRNA from 1 species